GUCCAGCUGACGAGUCCCAAAUAGGACGAAACGUGCGUCCUGGUU
rnacentral:hammerhead_ribozyme from 1 species